CUCUCUCUCUCUCAGUGUGACGGUCUGAAGGGCGAGCUGGCGGAGCUGCAGCUGAUGUACGACAGCAGCCAACGAGAGCGAGCAGCGCUGGAGCAGGAGCUGCGACGCUACAAGGCCGAGCUGCAGAAACUGACGGGCGGGAAGUCACGGACGGACACUGAAGGCUGGAAUCUGGCGGUGGCGGCGGUCGCUGUGGCGGCCAUCAUGGUUCUGGUCGUCCCCAGCUUCACCAGGGCCUGAGGGACGACGCAUGGUGACCUCACCGAUGACCUCACUGGGAACUGUGGCAUUAUGGGAUUGCCGUCAUGAAUCCAGUUUUGCCCUCGAACAUGUUGCUGUCCUGAUGCUUGUUGCGUUGCUCUGUCCGUGAUGGUUUGACCUCAACGCCACAGUCAGUGAGUGACGGAGACAGACAGAAUUUCAGUCGUCCAUUAAGACCUCCUCAGCUCCCCCUGCAGGUCAGAACUGUAAAAAACACUCAGCUGAUUAAAACGUUGUUGCUGAGAA